UACAGAGGGUGCGAGCGUUAAUCGGAAUUACUGGGCGUAAAGCGUGCGUAGACGGUUAUUUAAGUCGGGUGUGAAAGCCCCGGGCUCAACCUGGGAAUUGCAUUCGAGACUGAAUAGCUAGGGUACGGUAGAGGGAAGCGGAAUUUCCGGUGUAGCGGUGAAAUGCGUAGAUAUCGGAAGGAACACCAGUGGCGAAGGCAAUCCCCUGGGCCUGCACUGACGCUCAUGCACGAAAGCGUGGGGAGCAAACAGG
rnacentral:rRNA from 1 species